GCCAGGCACAGUGGUGCAUGCCUGUAAUCCCAGCUACUCAGGAGGCUGAGUCAGGAGGAUCACUUGAGCCCAGGAGGUCAAGGCUGCAGUGAGCUAUGAUUGCACCACUGCACUCCAACCUGGGCAACAGAGCAAGACCCUGUCUCUU
rnacentral:sRNA from 1 species